UAAAGAUGACGACCGGCGAACGGGUGCGUAACGCGUAUAGAAUCUACCUCUUACUAAGGGAUAGCCCAGAGAAAUUUGGAUUAAUACCUUAUGGUAUGCAGACUUGGCAUCAAGACUGCAUUAAAGAUUACGGUAGGAGAUGACUAUGCGUCCUAUUAGCUAGAUGGUGUGGUAACGGCACACCAUGGCAACGAUAGGUAGGGGCCCUGAGAGGGGGAUCCCCCACACUGGUACUGAGACACGGACCAGACUCCUACGGGAGGCAGCAGUGAGGAAUAUUGGACAAUGGAGGCAACUCUGAUCCAGCCAUGCCGCGUGCAGGAAGACUGCCCUAUGGGUUGUAAACUGCUUUUAUACAGGAAGAAACACUGCUACGUGUAGCAGCUUGACGGUACUGUAAGAAUAAGGAUCGGCUAACUCCGUGCCAGCAGCCGCGGUAAUACGGAGGAUCCAAGCGUUAUCCGGAAUCAUUGGGUUUAAAGGGUCCGUAGGUGGAUAAUUAAGUCAGAGGUGAAAUCCUGCAGCUCAACUGUAGAAUUGCCUUUGAUACUGGUUAUCUUGAGUUAUUAUGAAGUAGUUAGAAUAUGUAGUGUAGCGGUGAAAUGCAUAGAUAUUACAUAGAAUACCAAUUGCGAAGGCAGAUUACUAAU
rnacentral:rRNA from 1 species